CCUACGGGUGGCAGCAGUGAGGAAUAUUGGUCAAUGGACGAGAGUCUGAACCAGCCAAGUAGCGUGAAGGAUGACUGCCCUAUGGGUUGUAAACUUCUUUUAUAUGGGAAUAAAAUGUUCCACGUGUGGGAUUUUGUAUGUACCAUAUGAAUAAGGAUCGGCUAACUCCGUGCCAGCAGCCGCGGUAAUACGGAGGAUCCGAGCGUUAUCCGGAUUUAUUGGGUUUAAAGGGAGCGUAGGUGGAUUGUUAAGUCAGUUGUGAAAGUUUGCGGCUCAACCGUAAAAUUGCAGUUGAAACUGGCAGUCUUGAGUACAGUAGAGGUGGGCGGAAUUCGUGGUGUAGCGGUGAAAUGCUUAGAUAUCACGAAGAACUCCGAUUGCGAAGGCAGUUCACUGGACUGCAACUGACACUGAUGCUCGAAAGUGUGGGUAUCAAACAGGAUUAGAUACCCUUGUAGUC
rnacentral:rRNA from 1 species